AAUCACUGCUUUAUUUACAGGCACACGAAGUCAAAGACGUGUUAUUUCAAAUUGACCUGAAAAGACUUUCCGAGAAAACUAUCCGACAGCUCCAGAUUUUCAUCUCGAGAGUGAACGGGCCACCCAUUGGGAUCAAUGUGUAUGACAUGUUUAUUGUAGAUGCGUCCAGUAUGUUGAUGCUAUUUGGGACCAUUUUGACGUAUUCGAUAGUCAUCUUUCAGACAGCUGGCCCAGUCGUGUGCAGCAGCACGAAUACUACGAAUGUUAUAGUCGCCACAUCAUCGGCUAAUAUGACCUUCUGAAUCAUUACUGUCAAUAACUAGCUAAUAUUACGGCAUACACUUGUGUCUACAAAUAAUGUAUCGUCAUCAUUUGCCAGUAUAAGAUCAUGGAAAAUGACCUGGAAUACGAUUCAGACUGAAUGGUUAUCGCAUUUACCAGUAUCCACAGUUCAUGUGACGGGAUAGAAAACUGAAUGAUUGUCACAUUUACCAGUAUCCAUAUUUCUUGUGACGGGAUAGAUAACUGAAUGAUUAUCAUUGUCACAUUUACCAGUAUCCAUAUUUCAUGUGACGGGAUAGAAAACUGAAUGAUUAUCACAUUUACCAGUAUCCACAGUUCAUGUGACGGGAUAGAAAACUGAAAGAUUGUCACAUUUACCAGUAUCCAUAUUUCUUGUGACGGGAUAGAAAACUGAAAGAUUGUCACAUUUACCAGUAACCAUAUUUCUUGUGACGGGAUAACGGACUGAAUGAUUGUCACAUUUACCAGUAUCCACAGUUCAUGUGACGGGAUAGAAAACUGAAAGAUUGUCACAUUCACCAGUAUCCACAGUUCAUGUGACGGGAUAGAAAACUGAAAGAUUGUCACAUUUACCAGUAUCCAUAUUUCUUGUGACGGUAUAGAAUACUAAAUGAUUGUCACAUUUACCAGUAUCCAUAUUUCAUGUGACGGGAUAACGGACUGAAUGAUUGUCACAUUUACCAGUAUCCAUAUUUCAUGUGACGAGAUAGAAAACUGAAAGAUUGUCACACUUACCAGUAUCCAUAUUUCAUGUGACGGGAUAGAAAACUGAAAGAUUGUCACAUUUACCAGUAUCCAUAUUUCAUGUGACGGGAUAACGGACUGAAUAAUUGUCACAUUUACCAGUAUCCACAUUUCAUGUGACGGGAUAGAAAACUGAAAGAUUGUCACAUUUGCCAGUAUCCAUAUUUCAUGUGACGGGAUAGAAAACUAAAUGAUUGUCACAUUUACCAGUAUCCAUAUUUCUUGUGACGGGAUAGAAAACUGAAAGAUUGUCACAUUUACCAGUAUCCAUAUUUCUUGUGACGGGA